UCUGAGCCCUCAAUCUCAUCCUCUCUCCUAGCUCCAACUCCUUGAUCCAUACACACAUUCUGGACUCUCCCUUGCCUUAAAACCAAUCUUGAUUUCAGUGUUGCUCUAGCUACGGCUCCCUUUUACUUGAAGGGGGACAGAGGCUGAUGACUGGACAGGAAGUUCUGAAUACUUCAGUGUCAUCUGAUGAAGUUAUGCAGCAUAACAUGGCAAGCUGUGAUAGAGUACAACGUGGAAAAUGAAUGAGUAUCCCAGGUGAUUCACUACCAGCUAUGCUUCCUAAAGGCCUUUUUCUCCCCCUCUCCUGCUGGUGGGAGAAAACUCAAGAAAGGAAGAAACUGCAUGAUGUAUGAGGCCCAAAGCUAUGAAGAAAAUAGUUUUAGAUACUUAAAGAAAUAAUAAUACAAGCUACAUAUGGUCUUGUUCAUGGAGCCAAUUUGACUACAAAACAUGUUUUGGUUUAAAGGAUUCUUAUUUUUGCUUAGCCACAUCAAUAUAUGUCACUUUCUAUAGAUUCUAAGAAUGUAAUAAACUGUGUUUCGACUGUC